GACGAACGCUGGCGGCGUGCUUAACACAUGCAAGUCGAGCGGUAAGGCUCCUUCGGGAGUACACGAGCGGCGAACGGGUGAGUAACACGUGAGCAACCUGCCCUUCUCAUCGGAAUAAGCGUUGGAAACGACGUCUAAUGCCGAAUAUGACAACGGAUCGCAUGAUCUGUUGUGGAACGCUCGGGCGGAGAAGGAUGGGCUGGCGGCCUAUUAGCUUGUUGGUGGGGUAACGGCCCACCAAGGCGACGACGGGUAGCCGGCCUGACGAGGGUGACCGGCCACACUGGGACUGAGACACGGCCCAGACUCCUACGGGAGGCAGCAGUGGGGAAUAUUGGACAAUGGGCGCAAGCCUGAUCCAGCAACGCCGCGUGAGGGAUGACGGCCUUCGGGUUGUAAACCUCUUUCAGCAGGGACGAAGCGAAAGUGACGGUACCUGCAGAAGAAGGACCGGCCAACUACGUGCCAGCAGCCGCAGUAACAC
rnacentral:rRNA from 1 species